AAUAAAUAUUAAGAACAUGAUGUUGGUUCAGAUUAAAUGCUAAAUAAGGACAUUACACAUGCAAAUCAUACGUUAAUAAUAUAUAUAAAUAUGUUAUAAAUAAGUGGUGAAAACGUGAGUAAUAUAUAUGGAAAUCCUAACUAUAAAUUAAGUUAAAUGCUUAAUAUAUAUAAUAUAAAUUAUAUUAAAGAACAUUUAUACAAUGUUUGUUUAUAGUGGAGCCUAUAUUAGUUUAGGUAGUAGGUUAAUUAAUAGUAUAACCUAGCCAACGAUCUAUAAUCAAUAAUUAAAGUUAUAAUGAUCACGUUGACUUUGAAAUAAAUAGUCAAUAUCUAUAAGAUACAGCAGUGAGGAAUAUUGGACAAUGAUCGAAAGAUUGAUCCAGUUACUUAUUAGGAUGAUAUAUAAUAAUAAUUAUAUAAUAAAUAAUUAUAUAAUAAUGAUAUAUAUAUAUAAAUUGAUAUAAAAAUAAAAUCCUUAAAUAAUAAUAUAAUAAUGAUAUUAAUUACCAUUUAAUAAAUAAAUGGAUAUUAUUAAUAAUUAAUUAUUAAUAAUAUUUGAAUAGUCCUUGCAAAAAUUUGUGCCAGCAGUAGCGGUAAGACAAAGAGGGCGAGCAUUAAUCAUAAUGGUUUAAAGGAUUCGUAGAAUGAAUAUAUUAUAUUUAUUAUUAAUAAAUUUAUUAAUAAUAAAAUAUAUAAUAAUAUUUAGAGUUAAUAUAUAUUUAUUAAAGAAUUAUAAUAGUAAAGAUGAAAUAAUUAUGAUAAUUAUAAGACUGGUAUAUGUGAAAAUAUUAAUAAAUAAUUAACUGACAUUGAGGAAUGAAAACUAGAGUAUCAAAACGGAUUCGAUACCCGUGUAGUUCUAGUAGUAAACGAUGAAUACCAUUAUAUAUAUAAUAAUAAAUAUAUAUAUAUAUAAUAAAUGAAAAUUUAAGUAUUCCACCUGAAGAGUACGUUCGCAAGAAUAAAACUCAAAACAAUAGACGGUUACAGACUUAAGCAGUGGAGCAUGUUAUUUAAUUCGAUAAUCCACGACUAAUCUUACCAUAUUUUGUAUAUUUAUAUAAAUAUAUUAUAUAUAUAUUUAUAUAAUUACAGGCGUUACAUUGUUGUCUUUAAUUCGUGCUGCAAAGUCUUAGAUUAAGUUCAUUAACGAAUAAAACUCCAUAUAUAUAAUAAUAUAUUAUAUAUAAUAUUAUAUUAUAAUUUAAUAUAAUGAAAGGAAUUAAGACAAAUCAUAAUGAUCCUUAUAAUAUGGGCUAUAGACGUGCUAUAAUAAUAUGAUAAUAAAAUUAUAUAAUUUUUAAUAAAUUAAAAAGAAUUAAUAAUAUAAAACAUAUUACUAUUUAAUAUAAUUAUAUAUUAUAAUUAUAAUAUGAAUUAUAAUCUGAAAUUCGAUUAUAUGAAAAAAGAAUUGCUAGUAAUACGUAAAUUAGUAAGUUACGGUGAAUAUUCUAACUGUUUCGCACUAAUCACUCAUCACGCGUUGAAACUAUUAAUUAUCUGAAUAUAUAUAUUAUAUCUUUAUAUUUUAUAAAUCUAUUUUAUAAUUUUAUAUAAUUAUAAUAUAUAUAUAUGAAAUUAUUAGAAUUUAUGCGAAGUUGAAAUACAGUUAUCGUAGGGGAACCUGCGGUGGGCUUAUAAAUAUCUUUAAUAUUCUU
rnacentral:ncRNA from 1 species